AUUUUGAUUAUUACAUUCAUUUGAUAAGAGAUAGUGAUAAUAAUACUUUUUUCUUACUUAAGGACCAUCCUCCCAUUUGAAACAGUAUGGAUUGCUUUUCUUAUCACGAGGAAUACGACAAAUAGGAUUUCCAUCAUCUGUUCCUACUUCCCAUAUACAUUCUUUACAAACGGGAAAACGUCCAUCUGGAUUAUCAUCUCUGUAUACUUUAAAAUAUAAAAGUAAUGAGAUCCGCCAUUAUGCCAAGUAAAGUGACAACGAAAUUUCGUAGUUUUCCAAAAGUUGACAUGAAAGCUGAAAUCCCAUGUGCUAUUCCAAGGAAUAUGGACCAUUCCAAAAUCAUCUUCACUGGAUCUGCAAUGUACAUUCAAAAUUUCUUUAUUUU
rnacentral:sRNA from 1 species